rnacentral:rRNA from 1 species
AUACGGAGGAUCCGAGCGUUAUCCGGAUUUAUUGUGUUUAAAGGGUGCGCAGGCGGGAGAUUAAGUCGGCGGUGAAAUUUUGCAGCUCAACUGUAAAAGUGCCUUCGAAACUGGUUUCCUUGAGUGGAGAUGAAGUAGGCGGAAUUUGUGGUGUAGCGGGGAAAUGCAUAGAUAUCACGAGGAACUCCGAUUGCGCAGGCAGCUUACUAAACUACUACUGACGCUCAGGCACGAAGGCGUGGGGAUCAAACAGGAUUAGAUACCCUGGUAGUCCACGCAGUAAACGAUGAUUACUGGCUGUUUGCGAUACAAUGUAAGCGGCUGAGCGAAAGCGUUAAGUAAUCCACCUGGGGAGUACGUUCGCAAGAAUGAAACUCAAAGGAAUUGACGGGG